rnacentral:rRNA from 1 species
GAACGCUGGCGGCGUGCCUAAUACAUGCAAGUCGAACGCACUCUCGUUUAGAUUGAAGGAGCUUGCUCCUGAUUGAUAAACAUUUGAGUGAGUGGCGGACGGGUGAGUAACACGUGGGUAACCUGCCCUAAAGUGGGGGAUAACAUUUGGAAACAGAUGCUAAUACCGCAUAAAACCUAACACCGCAUGGUGUAGGGUUGAAAGAUGGUUUCGGCUAUCACUUUAGGGUGGACCCGCGGUGCAUUAGUUAGUUGGUGAGGUAAAGGCUCACCAAGACCGUGAUGCAUAGCCGACCUGAGAGGGUAAUCGGCCACACUGGGACUGAGACACGGCCCAGACUCCUACGGGAGGCAGCAGUAGGGAAUCUUCCACAAUGGACGAAAGUCUGAUGGAGCAACGCCGCGUGAGUGAAGAAGGUUUUCGGAUCGUAAAACUCUGUUGUUGGAGAAGAAUGUAUCUGAUAGUAACUGAUCAGGUAGUGACGGUAUCCAACCAGAAAGCCACGGCUAACUACGUG